AUAAUACCCUAUAGGUUACAGAUGCUGGAAUGCCCUGUAACCGAAAGUUCCGACGCCUUAGGAUGGAUCUGCGGCCGAUUAGGUUGUUGUCGGGGUAACGGCCCAACAAGCCGAUAAUCGGUACGGGUUGUGGGAGCAAGAGCCCGGAGUUGGAUUCUGAGACACGAAUCCAGGCCCUACGGGGCGCAGCAGGCGCGAAAACUUUACAAUGCGGGCAACCGUGAUAAGGGAACCUCGAGUGCCUGUAUAUGCAGGCUGUCCAGGUGUCUAAAACACACCUGAAGAAAGGGCCGGGCAAGACCGGUGCCAGCCGCCGCGGUAAUACCGGCGGCUCGAGUGGUGGCCGCUUUUAUUGGGCUUAAAGCGUUCGUAGCUGGGUCGUUAAGUCUCUUGGGAAAUCCGGCAGCUUAACUGUCGGGCGUCUAAGGGAUACUGGCGAUCUUGGAACCGGGAGAGGUGAGGGGUACUUCAGGGGUAGGAGUGAAAUCCUGUAAUCCUUGAGGGACCACCUGUGGCGAAGGCGCCUCACCAGAACGGCUUCGACAGUGAGGGACGAAAGCUGGGGGAGCAAACCGGAUUAGAUACCCGGGUAGUCCCAGCCGUAAACGAUGUGCGUUAGGUGUAUCGACGACCACGAGUCGUCGAGGUGCCGAAGGGAAACCGUGAAACGUACCGCCUGGGAAGUACGGUCGCAAGGCUGAAACUUAAAGGAAUUGGCGGGGGAGCACCACAACAGGUGGAGCCUGCGGUUUAAUUGGACUCAACGCCGGGAAGCUCACCGGAUAAGACAGCUGAAUGAUUGCCGGGCUGAAGACUCUGCAUGACUAGCUGAGAGGAGGUGCAUGGCCGUCGUCAGUUCGUACUGUGAAGCAUCCUGUUAAGUCAGGCAACGAGCGAGACCCACGCCAACAGUUGCCAGCAUGAUCUCCGGAUUGAUGGGGACACUGUUGGGACCGCCUCUGCUAAAGAGGAGGAAGGAAUGGGCAACGGUAGGUCAGCAUGCCCCGAAUUAUCCGGGCUACACGCGGGCUACAAUGGGCAGGACAAUGGGUAUCGACACCGAAAGGUGAAGGCAAUCUCCUAAACCUGUCCGUAGUUCGGAUUGCGGGCUGUAACUCGCCCUCAUGAAGCUGGAAUCUGUAGUAAUCGCGUUUCAAAAUA
rnacentral:rRNA from 1 species